GUUAAAAUCCUUUAAUUAAACCUGGAAUUCUGCACUUCAGUUACUUUGUAAUUGUUUGCUCUGGUAGUGAUGUCCUUUGUGGAUGUAGAGCGAAAAGAAAAGUGUCAUUGUACAACUAUUUAUGGACUUGGCUGCAUGUUUACACUCUGAUACCCAGGGUAUUGUGUAGUACUACCACAUACUAAGUUUUAUAAAACUUAGAAUGUGGCUGUUGAAAUGCAAAAUCAGCCUAAUAAUCGUUCAAGAGCGAGUGUCAGGGCUCUCACCAUUUAUACAAAAAUAUUUUUUAAUAUUGAUUACUUAUAACCUGCCUCUCGCCCUAAGACAGCUGGGAUAGGCUCCAGCCCCCCAACGACCCUGAAAAAGGAUAAGCUGAAGCGAAUGGAUAGAUGGACAAUCACUUAUAUAAAAUACCAUCACACAGAUAUGACUAGAGGAAUCAGAGAAAAUGUUUUGGUUGGUUGGUUUUGGUUUUGUAAUAUUUCAGUUAUGAAAACUACAGGAACUAUAUGUUGCCAUGAUUGAGCACCAUAUCAAAACACACUUCCCAAAGGGAAGAACUAUUUUGGACCUGAACUAGAGUUCUGGUCCAAACACACUGACCCAGAGCUGGUGUGACUGGGUUGGCAGCCUUGACACUUGUCAACUUCAUCUCAGUCCAUCCUUUUAAAAAAUGGACUUGGUCAGUCUCCACCUUGUUACGCUGACCUGCAGCUAAACAGAUUCACUGAGGAACUGAUCCUUAUUGGUUCAGACAGGAACAGAGUUUGGGCUCUGCAAAGAAGCACACGCCAGCUCGGAUCACUGUCACAGACAUCAGAAGGAAGUUUGCCAAUUCAACCCCGAGCCUACUGUGACCCACAUUCCACAGUCCGUGUUUGUUUCAUUUUUAUAGCAACCUAUAGCAAAUUCAUAUUUGCUGGCAUCUUCUUCCUGAUGGGACUCUUCGUUUCAUAUGGCUUCAACGACACGAUCUAUCCUCCCUUCCAUGUGGAUGUAAAUUACACGAUUAAACACACAGACCUGAAGUAAUGGUCUGGAAGAGACAGCUAUGUUUCAGUUCAGGGGAAAGAGCUUUUUCCACAAGCUGCAUGUCUUUGGACAGUGGGAGAAAGCCAGAGUACCAAGAGGGAACCCACGCAAACACGGGGCGAACAUGCAAACUCUACUCAGAAAGACCCCAGCCUGAUGUGGGAAUUUAACUCAGGUUCUUCUUGCUGUGCGGCAACCGUGCUAACCACCUUGCCACCAUGCUGCCGUCAUAAACAUGUUCAGCUAUUUUCCAAAUUCUUCCUUUAUGUAAAUGUCAGCUUUUAGCAGUUCAGCACUUUUGUUUUCAGGUUAAAAAUUCAGGGUUUUUUUUUUAUCUCAUUCAACAUUUUUAACUUAAUUUCAUCAAUUAAUUCAUUUCAGUGCAUACAUUCAGAUUCAAGCAUUCACACUGCAGUUUCUUCAGAAAAUGCACUUUCUAG
ensembl:lncRNA